CAGUCGCCGCGGUAAUACAGAGGGUGCGAGCGUUAAUCGGAUUUACUGGGCGUAAAGCGUGCGUAGGCGGCUUCUUAAGUCGGAUGUGAAAUCCCUGAGCUUAACUUAGGAAUUGCAUUCGAUACUGGGAAGCUAGAGUAUGGGAGAGGAUGGUAGAAUUCCAGAUGUAGCGGUGAAAUGCGUAGAGAUCUGGAGGAAUACCGAUGGCGAAGGCAGCCAUCUGGCCUAAUACUGACGCUGAGGUACGAAAGCAUGGGGAGCAAACAGGAUUAGAUACCCCGGUAGUCCCUGUCUCUUAUAC
rnacentral:rRNA from 1 species